rnacentral:rRNA from 1 species
GGAUAGGGGUGAAAGGCCAAUCAAACCCGGAGAUAUCUCGUUCUCCCCGAAAUAGCUUUAGGGCUAGCGUCGCGCGUUCACCGCCGGAGGUAGAGCACCGGAUGGACGAGGGGGCUUCGCCGCCUACCGAAUCCAACCGAACUCCGAAUGCCGGCGGCCCAGAGCGCGGCAGUCAGAGCAUGUGGGCUAAGCUGUGUGCUCGAGAGGGAAACAGCCCGGACCGCCCGCUAAGGUCCCCAAGUUCCAGCCGAGUGGCAAAGGAUGUGCGUCCGCCCAGACAACCAGGAUGUUGGCUUAGAAGCAGCCAUCCAUUCAAAGAGUGCGUAACAGCUCACUGGUCGAGUGGACAUGCGCCGACAAUACACGGGGCUAAGCUGGACACCGAAGCGGCGGGAUUUUGAUUUUCAGAAUCGGUAGGGGAGCUUCCCAUGGGCGGAGAAGCCGGAGGGCGACCGACGGUGGAGCGCAUGGGAGUGAGAAUGCUGGCAUGAGUAGCGAGAGACGAGAGAGUAACUCGUCCGCCGUGAACCCGAGGUUUCCUGGGCAAGGCUAAUCCUCCCAGGGUCAGUCGGGGGCUAAGGCGAGGCCGGGAGGCGUAGCCGACGCGCAGCAGGCAGACAUUCCUGCACCGCGCACGCGGCGCUACGACCGACGGGGCGACGGAUGGGGGUGGCUCGGCGGGGUUCUGGACGUCCCCGUGAUGGAGCGCGGCCCGCGGACCAGGGAAAUCCGGUCCGCACGAGGGCGAGGCUCCGGACGAAGCACUUAAGCGAAGCGAGUGAGCCCGAGGUCCCUAGAAAAACCCCUAGGCAGGCGCGUGCGCGCCCGUACCGCAAACCGACACAGGUGGGUGGGUAGAACAUACCGAGGCGAUCGGGUCAACCAUGGUCAAGGAACUCGGCACAAUGGCCCCGUAACUUCGGGAGAAGGGGUGCCCGCGCGUACGUGAACCGGCUCGCCCGGGGAGCGGAGGCGGGCCGCAGUGGAGAGGCCCAAGCGACUGUUUACCAAAAACACAGGACUCUGCAGAAGCCGCAAGGCGACGUAUAGGGUCUGACGCCUGCCCGGUGCCGGAAGGUCACGCGGAGGGGUUAGCCGUUAAGGCGAAGCCCCGAAGCCAAGCCCCGGUAAACGGCGGCCGUAACUAUAACGGUCCUAAGGUAGCGAAAUUCCUUGUCGGGUAAGUUCCGACCUGCACGAAAGGCGCAACGACUUGGGCGCUGUCUCGACCAUGGACCCGGUGAAAUUGCACUGGUCGUGAAGAUGCGACUUACCCGCGGAAGGACGGAAAGACCCCGUGAACCUUCACUGCAGCUUGGCAUUGGCCGCUGGUCCCGCGUGUAGAGGAUAGGCAGGAGGCGAAGAUCCGGAGGCGCCAGCCCCCGGGGAGCCGCCCUUGGAAUACUGCCCUCGCGCGACCGGCGUCCUAACCCGAGGCCGUCAACCGGCUCGGGGACCGUGCCAGGCGGGCAGUUUGACUGGGGCGGUCGCCUCCUAAAGGGUAACGGAGGCGCGCGAAGGUCCGCUCGGGACGGUCGGCAACCGUCCUUUUGAAUGCAAGAGUACAAGCGGGCUUGACUGCGAGGCCCACAAGCCGAGCAGGUGCGAAAGCAGGCUCUAGUGAUCCGGCGGCCCCGAGUGGGUGGGCCGUCGCUCAACGGAUAAAAGGUACUCCGGGGAUAACAGGCUGAUCUUGCCCAAGAGUCCACAUCGACGGCAAGGUUUGGCACCUCGAUGUCGGCUCAUCGCAUCCUGGGGCUGGAGCAGGUCCCAAGGGUACGGCUGUUCGCCGUUUAAAGCGGUACGCGAGCUGGGUUCAGAACGUCGUGAGACAGUUCGGUCCCUAUCCUCCGUGGGCGCAGGAGAAUCGAUGGAGGCUGCCCCCAGUACGAGAGGACCGGGGUGGACGCACCUCCGGUGAACCGGUUGUCGACCAACGGCACGGCCGGGUAGCCGCGUGCGGCGCGGAUAACCGCUGAAGGCAUCUAAGCGGGAAGCCGUUCCAGGGAUUAGUUCUCCUUCCGGUAAGGGCCCAGGUAGACUACCUGGUCGAUAGACGGCAGGUGCAAGGGCGGCGACGUCCUCAGCCGAGCCGCACUAAUCGCCCGAGCUCUUCCGGAA